CCCAGUAAACGGCGGCCGUAACUAUAACGGUCCUAAGGUAGCGAAAUUCCUUGUCAGGUAAGUUCUGACCCGCACGAAAGGCGUAACGAUUUGGGCGCUGUCUCGGCAGCAGACUCGGUGAAAUCUUAGUACCUGUGAAAAUGCAGGUUACCCGCAACUAGACGGAAAGACCCCAUGGAGCUUUACUGUAGCCUGAUAUUGAAUUUUGAUCAAAGAUGUACAGGAUAGGUGGGAGGCGAAGAGACGUGUACGCCAGUAUACGAGGAGCCGCUGUUGGGAUACCACUCUUGUUUGAUUGAAGUUCUAACCUGCACCCAUGAACUGGGUGAGGGACCGUGUCAGGUGGGCAGUUUGACUGGGGCGGUCGCCUCCUAAAGAGUAACGGAGGCGCCCAAAGGUACGCUCAGAUUGGAUGGAAAUCAAUCGACGAGUGCAAAUGCAGAAGCGUGCUUGACUGUGAGACAAACAAGUCGAACAGGGACGAAAGUCGGGAUUAGUGAUCCGGCGGUGCCGAAUGGAAGGGCCGUCGCUCAACGGAUAAAAGCUACCCUGGGGAUAACAGGCUGAUCUCGCCCAAGAGUUCACAUCGACGGCGAGGUUUGGCACCUCGAUGUCGGCUCAUCGCAUCCUGGAGCUGAAUUCGGUUCCAAGGGUUGGGCUGUUCGCCCAUUAAAGCGGUACGCGAGCUGGGUUCAGAACGUCGUGAGACAGUUCGGUCCCUAUCUGUUGUGGGCGUUGGAGAUCUGAGGAGAGCUGUCCUUAGUACGAGAGGACCGGGAUGGACCUACCGCUGGUGCACCAGUUGUUCCGCCAGGAGCAUAGCUGGGUAGCUAAGUAGGGAAGGGAUAAGCGCUGAAAGCAUCUAAGCGCGAAGCCUACUCCAAGAUGAGAUCUCCCAUUCGUAUAACGAAGUAAGACCCCUUGAAGACGACGAGGUGGAUAGGUCAGAGAUGGAAGUGUAGCGAUACAUGGAGUUGACUGAUACUAAUAGGUCGAGGACUUAAUCAC
rnacentral:rRNA from 1 species